ACACGACUACAUUAGAUACCCGGGUAGUCCCAGCCGUAAACAAUGUGCGUUAGGUGUGUCGGUAACCACGCGUUACUGAUGCGCCGAAGAGAAAUCGUGAAACGCACCACCUGGGAAGUACGGUCGCAAGGCUGAAACUUAAAGGAAUUGGCGGGGAGCACCACAACAGGUGGAGCCUGCGGUUUAAUUGGAUUCAACGCCGGACAUCUCACCGGAUAAGACAGCUGAAUGAUUGUCAAUCUGAAGGUUUUACAUGACUAGCUG
rnacentral:rRNA from 1 species